AGUCCUAUAGUUUAAUUUAAAACAUCAGGCUGCAAUUCUGAAAAUGCACAUAAAGUUGGGGCUU
rnacentral:tRNA from 1 species